rnacentral:lncRNA from 1 species
GGCUCUUCCAGUUUAGGAAGGCUCCCGGGGCUGGCAUUGCUGCAUAGCUCAACCCCCAGGCAUCUGUUUACCACUGUCACAGCAGUUCACUCAAACUGUGCACUCUCUAAAUAAAGACCUUGCUUUGAUUAUAAUUUCCAUGAACAUGAAAACUCCCAAGUCUUAAUCCUGAAAGAAGGAGGCCAUUUCCAGCAGUCGGAAAAGGGGGAAGAUUAGCCCUGAGCUAACAUCUGACAAUUCUCCUCUUUUUGUUGAGGAAGGCUGGCCCUGAGCUAACAUCCAUGCCCACCUUCCUCUACUUUAUAUGUGGGACACCUACCACAGCAUGGCUUGACAAGUAGUGCCAUGUCCACACUCGGGAUCUGAACCAGCGAACCUCGGGCCACCAAAGUGGAACGUGUGCACUUGACCGCUGCACCACCAGGCCAGCCCCUCUAACAAUAAUUUUUAACGAGUUAAUGCAGCUGCAAAAUUCACACUCCAAUCAGUCCACCCCUACAGUGCCAUGGAGAGAAGGAUUGGAAUGAUUUUGAACCACCUAAAUUUGGAGAUGUGGAACAAAUAGUGUCUGUUUAUUUAGUGAUAAAUUGUAGGUGGGCUGUGUCCUGCCACCUUGACCCAAAGGUGAGCUAGCUCAGCAUUGCAUCAGCAGAGAUUUUGUUUUUAGGUGCUGUUUUUUCCAUUUUGAAAGCAAUAAAAUGGCAGCCUGUGAACAAGAGAGGGAGUAAAGAGGAAAAUAUGUGACCCGAUAAGGAGUUUAUACAACGAUUCUGCCUUUGACUAUAAUAAACUAUACUAUAAAAAGUGCUAUAAAUUUAAGAAAAAGAUAUUUUUUUCCUGUUGGGAAAAAAAAAGGAAAUAGAGAAAGAGAUCAAAACAGUGUUUGAAUUUUUGAAAUCCUUUAGACAGCUAUGCCAGAUAGUCAAUAACACUGACAGCAGAAGCCUUCCCAAACUAGAGUCAACUGUGAGAUUAAAUGGUCUUGCAAGGAUUAUCUUAUUGUAAAACCUCCUAGAAGAUAAAUGGAAUUUUCUAUAAGUAGUCAGUAUUAACCUGUUUGCUAAAUUGAAUAGAGAAUGCCAGGCAGUUAGAAAAAUCUAAGAAAAGAGCCUUGAAUUGUGAGCCAGGAGACCUUGGUUUUAAUAUCUCUCCUAAACCAAAUUCCUGGUUAUUCUGAUGGCUGGGACUUAAUUUAACCCACUGAGUCUAUAUCUUACUGGAUUACUCGCUCUCUAAGUCUUUUCCAACUUCAAUAUGUCCAUAUCUCAGUAGCCUAUCGCUGGUCUCCUCAGUCAGAUAUAGGCAUUUCUAGCUACUAAGGAGUGGAGGUAUUGGGUCAUCAUUUAUGUCAGUCUUAAGUAGCAGUAGUCACAGCAGCCACACCUGC